rnacentral:lncRNA from 1 species
GGCCCUCCCUCUAGGCCUCCCCAGCUACUGUGACAUCACCCAGGGCGAGACCUAGACUAGUCCUGGCUCCAACCUCUGGGAGUCCUCAUGGCAUCUGACUUGUCAGACGGACUUUGUGGAUCUGCUCCUUUGGGAACCACCUCUGAUGGAUUGAAGUCUCAGCAAAAGAAGCAAGAAGCCCAGGCGCUCUGACCUCAUGAUGUCCUCAGCAGACAGGGAAGAUGCAGGGGUAGAGACCAAGGACAGGACAGUGUUUGCAGCUGUGUGCCCACCCCCUUCCUACCCUUGAGGGAGGAGCCAGAGGCUGGAGUACUGGGGCUGGAGUUAAGAACUGCAGAUGGAAGUGAGAGAGGAGGAGAAGAAAGAGGCUCCCACCCGGCUUCUGACCCAGGACAUACUGCCAGAUGGGAGCAGAGGGUGAGGAAUAAACAUUUAUUGAGCACUUACUGUGUGCCAGGCAUUACAUAGGAGCUAGCAUGUAUGUUCCAGAAUGUAAACUCCAUGAGGGUGGAGAUUAUCUGUUUUAUUAUUCACUGUUGUAAUCUUAGUGCCUAGCACAGUUACUAGCACAUGGUAGGAACUCAAUAAACAUAUGCAGAAUAAAUGAAUGUGUACCUGUUAUGCCCACCAUAACUCUAUGAAGCAGAUAAAAAUAUUAUAGCCAUGUUACAUGAUCUUCAGCUGAGGCUCAGAGAGGUUAAGUGACUUGCUCAAUGUCACACAGCCAAGUAAAUGGCAGAGCUGGCACUGCCUGGCUGUAAAGCUCUUGCUCUUACCACUGC